CCCUUAGACGUUCUGGGCCGCACGCGCGCUACACUGACGAAGGCAACGAGCUUUCCUUUACCGAAAGGUACGGGUAAUCUUUUGAAACUUCGUCGUGCUGGGGAUAGAUCCUUGCAAUUUUUGAUCUUAAACGAGGAAUGCCUAGCAAGCGCAAGUCAUCAACUUGCGUUGAUUACGUCCCUGCCCUUUGUACACACCGCCCGUCGCUACUACCGAUUGAAUGGUUUAGUGAGGCCUUCGGAUCCGCGACUCGUUUGUGGAGAAGUUGGACAAACUCAGUCAUUUAGAGGAAGUAAAAGUCGUAACA
rnacentral:rRNA from 1 species